rnacentral:rRNA from 1 species
GUCUGCAACUCGACUACAUGAAGCUGGAAUCGCUAGUAAUCGCAAAUCAGAAUGUUGCGGUGAAUACGUUCCCGGGUCUUGUACACACCGCCCGUCACACCAUGGGAGUCGGAAAUGCCCGAAGUCUGUGACCCAACGAAAGAGGGAGCAGCCGAAGGCAGGUCUGAUAACUGGGGUGAAGUCGUAACAAGGUAUC